ACAAUUUUAAUUAAACAUAACAACAAUACAAAUCAAAGAGAAAUCAAAAUAUGCAACACUUGAACUACUGGUUGCUGAUGAACAUAGCAACAACACAAAUCAAAAUACACAAAAGUAUCUUCCUAUUGAACCUACACCAUUUCAACCUUCUAUUGAGUCUCCUCUCCAAUAACAAAUUAGAGUUCCUCAAGUUGUCAAUAUGAACCUGUCUAAUACAUAAUUCUUGCUCCAACUCAUUGAUUUUGUUCACCAAUCUUGGAAGGAUAAAACUUGAUCUUGGAUCCACUUCU
rnacentral:lncRNA from 1 species